CAGUCGCCACGGUAAUGCGGAGGAUCCAAGCGUUAUCCGGAAUCAUUGGGUUUAAAGGGUCCGUAGGCGGUUUAGUAAGUCAGUGGUGAAAGCCCAUCGCUCAACGGUGGAACGGCCAUUGAUACUGCUGAACUUGAAUUAUUAGGAAGUAACUAGAAUAUGUAGUGUAGCGGUGAAAUGCUUAGAGAUUACAUGGAAUACCAAUUGCGAAGGCAGGUUACUACUAAUUGAUUGACGCUGAUGGACGAAAGCGUGGGGAGCGAACAGGAUUAGAGACCCCGGUAGUCCCUGUCUCUUAUAC
rnacentral:rRNA from 1 species